CUACGGACUUAGAAAACUGAGCCUUGAGGUGAGAAAUCCCUUAAGUGACGGCUCUCAAAUUCAGGGAAACCUAAAUCUGGAGACAGACAAGGCAAUCCUGAGCCAAGCCUAGUUCAUGGACUAGGAAGGUGCAGAGACUCGACGGGAGCUACCCUAACGUAAAGGCGAGGGUAAAGGGAGAGUCCAAUUCUCAAAGCUGUUUGGAC
rfam:Limnoraphis robusta CS-951 contig248, whole genome shotgun sequence.